rnacentral:rRNA from 1 species
UUGCUCCCUGAGAUUAGCGGCGGACGGGUGAGUAACACGUGGGCAACCUGCCUAUAAGACUGGGAUAACUUCGGGAAACCGGAGCUAAUACCGGAUACGUUCUUUUCUCGCAUGAGAGAAGAUGGAAAGACGGUUUACGCUGUCACUUAUAGAUGGGCCCGCGGCGCAUUAGCUAGUUGGUGAGGUAAUGGCUCACCAAGGCGACGAUGCGUAGCCGACCUGAGAGGGUGAUCGGCCACACUGGGACUGAGACACGGCCCAGACUCCUACGGGAGGCAGCAGUAGGGAAUCUUCCGCAAUGGACGAAAGUCUGACGGAGCAACGCCGCGUGAACGAAGAAGGCCUUCGGGUCGUAAAGUUCUGUUGUUAGGGAAGAACAAGUACCAGAGUAACUGCUGGUACCUUGACGGUACCUAACCAGAAAGCCACGGCUAACUACGUGCCAGCAGCCGCGGUAAUACGUAGGUGGCAAGCGUUGUCCGGAAUUAUUGGGCGUAAAGCGCGCGCAGGUGGUUCCUUAAGUCUGAUGUGAAAGCCCACGGCUCAACCGUGGAGGGUCAUUGGAAACUGGGGAACUUGAGUGCAGAAGAGGAAAGUGGAAUUCCAAGUGUAGCGGUGAAAUGCGUAGAGAUUUGGAGGAACACCAGUGGCGAAGGCGACUUUCUGGUCUGUAACUGACACUGAGGCGCGAAAGCGUGGGGAGCAAACA